rnacentral:lncRNA from 1 species
UAUUCAUCCAAUUAUCCAUUUAAUAAACCAAAAAAAUCCAUUUUACAAUUUCCAAAAUCAAUAUCCAAUUCACUAUCCAACAAUAUCCAAUAAUGCAUAUAGAUUCACCAUGUACAUAACAAUUUACACUAAGCAAAAAGAAAGCAUAUUGAAGAUGAAAACAAGCUGCAACACAGGAGCUGUAACGUACAACUACAAGCCAAAACGGAAAAGCCACGCUGCUGCAAUACAAAACACGGUUGAAACAGAAGAAGAAAACCAAACGGUAACGGCACAAAAUCAUGAAAACGACCAAAGUAAAAGGCAUUGCAAUCUAAAGCCGAUGCAAGCAUGAAAUGGCGAUGCCAGCUGCGGAAAAUGCAACAUCGAAAUGCAGUAAAAACGUAACAUGAACAGGAAGUAUCCAAAUGAAAAGCAGGAAAAACAAAAGGCCAAUAUAACUCACCGAAAAAACCGAACUGAAUCCAAGCUGAAUAACAAGCUCAACAUACUCAACCUUCAAAAACAGAAUUUUAUAACCUUCACUUCAAUAACCAAUUCUCAAAAGCUUAUUCUAACUGCCAUGAUACUUAUCAACUUAGAUUCUGAACAACAAUUCUAACCACUCUUCCAACAGAACUUUAACUGAACAAAAGUCUCUUCUUCAACCAACUUCUAACCGACUCUUAAACCAAUCCCUAACAGAAUGCUAACCAACCUCUAGAACCAUCUUCAACUUUCUUCGAUAGAACCUCUUAACAAUCAGCAUCACAGACCCCACUCUCCCAAAUUGAGUUCUGAAUCGCCCUCAACCUUUCAACCAAAAGACCCAGAGAAGAUAGAGAACAAGAGGAUGAAGAAAAAUCGAAAAAAGGAAGAACAAUGCGUCAAAAGGAUUUUCGAUAC